rnacentral:lncRNA from 1 species
GCUUUUUUAUUUUAAUAUGAAAUGCAGAAUACACAUUUUUGGAUCCAGGAAGUGUUACUUACGUGCCUGUAACAAUGUAAUUUUAGGCCAGGUGCAGUGGCUCAUGCCUACAGUCCUAGCACUUUGGAAGGUUGAGGGAGGAUGAUCGCUUAAGUUCAGUUGUUGAAAUGCAGAAUACACAUUUUUGGAUCCAGGAAGUGUUACUUACGUGCCUGUAACAAUGUA